rnacentral:tRNA from 1 species
CAUCUGCUGGCGCGACAGGCGCGCGGUCGCCUCGCGUGCGACGAAGCGGCCAUCGCGCAUGACGAUCACCUCGUCGGUGAUGC